GAUGAACGCUGGCGGCGUGCCUAAUACAUGCACGUCGAGCGAACAGACGAGGAGCUUGCUCCUCUGACGUUAGCGGCGGACGGGUGAGUAACACGUGGAUAACCUACCUAUAAGACUGGGAUAACUUCGGGAAACCGGAGCUAAUACCGGAUAAUAUAUUGAACCGCAUGGUUCAAUAGUGAAAGACGGUUUUGCUGUCACUUAUAGAUGGAUUCGCGCCGCAUUAGCUAGUUGGUAAGGUAACGGCUUACCAAGGCAACGAUGCGUAGCCGACCUGAGAGGGUGAUCGGCCACACUGGAACUGAGACACGGUCCAGACUCCUACGGGAGGCAGCAGUAGGGAAUCUUCCGCAAUGGGCGAAAGCCUGACGGAGCAACGCCGCGUGAGUGAUGAAGGUCUUCGGAUCGUAAAACUCUGUUAUUAGGGAAGAACAAAUGUGUAAGUAACUAUGCACGUCUUGACGGUACCUAAUCAGAAAGCCACGGCUAACUACGUG
rnacentral:rRNA from 1 species